CCUACGGGCGGCUGCAGUGGGGAAUAUUGCACAAUGGGCGCAAGCCUGAUGCAGCCAUGCCGCGUGUGUGAAGAAGGCCUUCGGGUUGUAAAGCACUUUCAGCGGGGAGGAAGGCGUUAAGGUUAAUAACCUUGGCGAUUGACGUUACCCGCAGAAGAAGCACCGGCUAACUCCGUGCCAGCAGCCGCGGUAAUACGGAGGGUGCAAGCGCUAAUCGGAAUUACUGGGCGUAAAGCGCACGCAGGCGGUCUGUCAAGUCGGAUGUGAAAUCCCCGGGCUCAACCUGGGAACUGCAUUCGAAACUGGCAGGCUAGAGCCUUGUAGAGGGGGGUAGAAUUCCAGGUGUAGCGGUGAAAUGCGUAGAGAUCUGGAGGAAUACCGGUGGCGAAGGCGGCCCCCUGGACAAAGACUGACGCUCAGGUGCGAAAGCGUGGGGAGCAAACAGGAUUAGAUACCCCAGUAGUC
rnacentral:rRNA from 1 species